AUUGAACGCUGGCGGCAUGCUUUACACAUGCAAGUCGAACGGUAACAGGCCUUCGGGUGCUGACGAGUGGCGAACGGGUGAGUAAUGCAUCGGAACGUACCCAGAGGUGGGGGAUAACGCAGCGAAAGCUGUGCUAAUACCGCAUGUGAUCUGAGGAUGAAAGCGGGGGACCGAGCAGCAAUGUUUGGCCUCGCGCCUUUGGAGCGGCCGAUGUCGGAUUAGCUAGUUGGUGGGGUAAAGGCCUACCAAGGCGACGAUCCGGAGCUGGUCUGAGAGGACGACCAGCCGCACUGGGAGUGAGACACGGCACAGACGCCUACAGGAAGCAGCAGUGGGGAAUUUUGGACAAUGGGCGCGAGCCUGAUCCAGCAAUGCCGAGUGCGGGAAGAAGGCCUUCGGGUUGUAAACCGCUUUUGGCAGGAACGAAACGGUGUCCGCUAAUACCGGGCGCUAAUGACGGUACCUGCAGAAUAAGCACCGGCUAACUACGUG
rnacentral:rRNA from 1 species